UUUCCGUAGGUGAACCUGCGGAAGGAUCAUUAAUAGUGAUAGUUGAGAUGGGGGAGGGGGUUGGAGGGGAGGUGGCUGCGCAGCUUCCGUAAGGAGAUUGUGCGCGCCUCCUUUUCGCCUCACCACUGUUUUUACCAUGGCCUGUGCAAGGAUUUAGAUUUGUGCGAUUUAAUUUGCAUUUGUAUUGUUGGAGAAUUGGUAGUUUGUCAUGAGAAAUAUUAAAAAGUGAAAACUUUCAACAAUGGAUCUCUUGGCUCUC
rnacentral:misc_RNA from 1 species